rnacentral:rRNA from 1 species
AGAGUUUGAUCCUGGCUCAGGACGAACGCUGGCGGCGUGCCUAACACAUGCAAGUCGAACGAGGUCCAACCAGUAGCAAUACUGGGGAAGACCUAGUGGCGAACGGGUGAGUAACACGUGAGGAACCUGCCCCGAAGACCGGGAUAACGCUCCGAAAGGAACGCUAAUACCGGAUACCUUCACCGGACCGCAUGAUCUGGUGAAGAAAUGGAUUCCGCUUCGGGAGGGUCUCGCGGCCUAUCAGCUUGUUGGUGGGGUAAUGGCCCACCAAGGCUUCGACGGGUAGCUGGUCUGAGAGGACGAUCAGCCACACUGGGACUGAGACACGGCCCAGACUCCUACGGGAGGCAGCAGUGGGGAAUCUUGCGCAAUGGGCGAAAGCCUGACGCAGCAACGCCGCGUGGGGGAUGAAGGCUCUCGGGUCGUAAACCCCUUUCAGCAGGGACGAAACUGACGGUACCUGCAGAAGAAGCCCCGGCCAACUACGUGCCAGCAGCCGCGGUA